GAAAGGAUCAUUCUGAAUGCAAAGUUUUGUAGGUACACUAAGCAUCAGCAUGAAAACAAAUAAAAGGAAUAAGUACAUUGCAUGAGUUUCUUUAAAACUGAAAACUCAUUAAAGUAAAAGCCAAUUGCCAUCUCAUGAAGAAUUAAUGAGUUUGAGAAAACAAAAUAUCUAUCUGCUACAGCAGAAUACAAGAUCAUAAUGUAUGUUAACAUUAAAAACAAGAAUUAUUGUGCUAAUUAAAAACUACUGUUUAUUUUCUUCAUUUGACUUCAAUGCAAUUAUGACAACGACACAUGCUGAGAUGCAGUCUAUCAUUUCUACCCUAUUUAGCCAUCUGUAGUACCUGAAUCUUUAUUUAAUACCAACCAAUGCUUUUCUAAUGGAUAAGAUUGCAUGCAUACACAUGAGCAGGGAAAAAUUGAAGAGAAAA
rnacentral:misc_RNA from 1 species